rnacentral:rRNA from 1 species
GUUGAACGCUGGCGGCGUGCCUAAUACAUGCAAGUCGAGCGAAGCGGGGACGGGUGAGUAACAUGUGGAUAACCUCCUAUAAGACUGGGAUAACUUCGGGAAACCGGAGCUAAACCGGUUACUUAUAGAUGGAUCCGCGCUGCAUUAGCUAGUUGGUAAGGUAACGGCUUACAAAGGCAACGAUGAAUAGCAGACCUGAGAGGAUGAUCAGCCACACUGGAACUGAGACACGGUCCAGACUCCUACGGGAGGCAGCAGUGGGGAAUCUUCCACAAUGGGCGAAAGCCUGACGGAGCAACGCCGCGUGAGUGAUGAAGGUCUUCGGAUCGUAAAACUCUGUUAUUAGGGAGGCGGUACCUAAACAGAAAGCCACGGCUAACUACGUGCCAGCAGCCGCGGUAAUAC